UGCAACUGACAUUGAGGCUCGAAAGUGUGGGUAGCAAACAGGAUUAGAUACCCUGGUAGUCCACACAGUAAACGAUGAAUACUCGCUGUUUGCGAUAUACAGUAAGCGGCCAAGCGAAAGCAUUAAGUAUUCCACCUGGGGAGUACGCCGGCAACGGUGAAACUCAAAGGAAUUGACGGGGGCCCGCACAAGCGGAGGAACAUGUGGUUUAAUUCGAUGAUACGCGAGGAACCUUACCCGGGCUUAAAUUGCAGUGGAAUGAUGUGGAAACAUGUCAGUGAGCAAUCACCGCUGUGAAGGUGCUGCAUGGUUGUCGUCAGCUCGUGCCGUGAGGUGUCGGCUUAAGUGCCAUAACGAGCGCAACCCUUAUCUUUAGUUACUAACAGGUUAUGCUGAGGACUCUAGAGAGACUGCCGUCGUAAGAUGUGAGGAAGGUGGGGAUGACGUCAAAUCAGCACGGCCCUUACGUCCGGGGCUACACACGUGUUACAAUGGGGGGUACAGAGGGCCGCUACCACGCGAGUGGAUGCCAAUCCCCAAAACCUCUCUCAGUUCGGACUGGAGUCUGCAACCCGACUCCACGAAGCUGGAUUCGCUAGUAAUCGCGCAUCAGCCACGGCGCGGUGAAUACGUUCCCGGGCCUUGUACACACCGCCCGUCAAGCCAUGGGAGCCGGGGGUACCUGAAGUGCGUAACCGCGAGGAGCGCCCUAGGGUAAAACUGGUGACUGGGGCUAAGUCGUAACAAGGUAGCCGUACCGGAAGGUGCGGCUG
rnacentral:rRNA from 1 species